rnacentral:lncRNA from 1 species
GCCGUCGUGCGGUGGAUCGCGCGCAGCACCCAGGGUUCGGAGGUAACAGCGGUGACACGCCCCCAGGAUAACGCUGGGGAGGCGGCCGCGCUGAGCUCACUCCGGGCCCUGCGGAAAGAAUUCGUACCGUUCCUGUUGAACUUCCUGAGGGAGCAGAGCAGCCGCGUCCUCCCGCAGGGGCCCCCGACCCCCGCCAAGACCCCGGGCGCCUCGGCAGCCUUGCCAGGGAGGCCGGGAGGCCCGCCGCGGGGUAGCCGCGGGGCGCGCAGCCAGCUUUUCCCUCCG